UGUACACACCGCCCGUCGCUACUACCGAUUGAAUGGCUCAGUGAGGCGUUCGGACUGGCUCGGGGAGGUUGGCAACGACCACCCCAAGCCGGAAAGUUCGUCAAACUCGGUCAUUUAGAGGAAGUGAAAGUCGUAACAAGGUCUCCGUAGGUGAACCUGCGGAGGGAUCAUUA
rnacentral:rRNA from 1 species